rnacentral:rRNA from 1 species
AGGGGUUUGAUCAUGGCUCAGAAUGAACGUUGGCGGCGUGGAUUAGGCAUGCAAGUCGCGCGAGAAGCUUCCUGCUUGCAGGAGGUGGAAAGCGGCGUAAGGGAGAGUAACGCGUGGAUUAUCUACCCUGGGGUCCGGAAUAGCUGUGGGAAACUGCAGGUAAUGCCGGAUAACAUCUUCGGAUCAAAGGUGUGAUUCCGCCCUUGGAGGAGUCCGCGUCCUACUAGCUUGUUGGUGAGGUAAUGGCUCACCAAGGCUUCGAUGGGUACCGGGUGUGAGAGCAUGGCCCGGCUCACUGGGACUGAGACACUGCCCAGACACCUACGGGUGGCUGCAGUCGAGAAUCUUCGGCAAUGGGCGCAAGCCUGACCGAGCGACGCCGCGUGCGGGAUGAAGGCCUUCGGGUUGUAAACCGCUGUCAGAGGGGAUGAAAUGCUAGGGGGUACUCUCCCUAGUUUGACAUAGCCUCAGAGGAAGGGCGGGCUAAGUUCGUGCCAGCAGCCGCGGUAAGACGAACCGCCCAAACGUUAUUCGGAAUCACUGGGCUUAAAGGGUGCGUAGGCGGCACGGAAAGUUGGGUGUGAAAUCCCUCGGCUCAACCGAGGAACUGCGCCCAAAACUAUCGUGCUAGAGGGAGAUAGAGGUAAGCGGAACUGAUGGUGGAGCGGUGAAAUGCGUUGAUAUUAUCAGGAACACCGGUGGCGAAGGCGGCUUACUGGAUCUCUUCUGACGCUGAGGCACGAAAGCUAGGGGAGCGAACGGGAUUAGAUACCCCGGUAGUCCUAGCUGUAAACGAUGAGCACUUGAUCGAAGACUCCUCCAUAGGUUUUCGGUCGUAGCGAAAGUGUUAAGUGCUCCGCCUGGGGGAGUAUGGUCGCAAGGCUGAAACUCAAAGGAAUUGACGGGGGCUCACACAAGCGUGAG